ensembl:ncRNA Y54E10A.20 ncRNA
UCUAAGCCUAAGCCUAAGCCUAAGCCUAAGUCUAAGCCUAAGUCUAAGCCUAAGUCUAAGUCUAAGUCUAAGUCUAAGUCUAAGUCUAAG